rnacentral:lncRNA from 1 species
GUGCCGUUCUGUGGCUCCUCAUCCUGGGGGGCUCCCACCAGCAGCAGGUACCGCUCCCCCCGCUCGCUCUGCCGGUGCAGCGCUACGGAGAAGCCGAAGAAGCCCCUCGGCGCGGUCCCCUCCUUCAGCACGGGGAAGGCGGUGUCCAGGUUGAAGGCGGCAGCGGAGCGGAGCACCGCGCACAGCAGCAGAAGCACCGCACGCCGCCGCGCCAUGGCCGGACCGGACCCUCCGCCCCCCCCGGCACCCCCCGCCCAUCCACCGCUGCGGGGCAGCGCCGGUGCGGUGCGGUGCGGUGCGGACGCGCCCCGCGGUGCGCGCGGGUUAUGGAAAGGGGCGUGGCCGGGAGGGGCGCGCGCGCGCGCGCCCUUCCGGGCACUCCCCUUAAAGGGGCCGCGCGCCCCCACCUUCCCCCGCCCGCACCUGCGGAG